CGUGCCAAUAUCUCGGUGCUUUUUCAUUUCUCAACAGCGUUCAAAGUUCAAACUCACUCAUUCAUCAGUAACAAAGAUUCUUCUACACUGACAUGAAGCAUAACCAUAUAGUUUAUCUCGACAGAAAUAUUCACUGAAAAAGUAAAACACAGAAAGCAAGAAUGACAAGCGAGAAACAUAUCCAGGAAUAGUAAAACCAUAUUCGAUAGUUCCAGUGUGAAGAUGGGGACCUCCUGUUGAUUCUUUCAAUCUUCUAAUUAAUCCGAGAUCAUGUUCAUCUAAGCUUUUCUACUAGAGCAAGAUCCUAGGGUUUUUCUUUUAUCAGUUUUAUGCAGAUUCCAGUAAACUUUACCAUGAAAAAGGAAAAAGAUCGAUCCCAUUUCUCUGAUUAUGAUUUUGUCUAUAUAUCAACAUCGGGCUUCCACAAAUAGACCAUAGGAAUACUCCAUAUUUCAUGGAAAAUUAAACUGAUUAAGUGGUUGUUCUGAUUGUCCCUUACCUUUUAAUAACUCAGUUACACAAUGGAUAAUAAGACGAUUAGGGCAUAAGAGGCAGGCCAAGAGUAGGGUUUGACUCAAAACCUAAUCAGUUCAAUUUGAUUCAGACUGAAUUCAUGUUAUUAUUUUAGUUUAAUGGAUGAUAUUAUUUAUUUUAUUAAUAAUAUUAUAAAUCCGAUAAUACUAUUUAUAUUUUCAACCAAUUCAAAUGAGGAUUUGAACCAAACUCGAAUCCAAUCCUAACAAAAGGGCUCACUCUUUUUUCAUCUCAAAGUUUCAGUUUCAGUGGGAUGAAGAUGAACAGACUCCAUUUUCACAUCCCAUGUAAUUCUGCUUUCAUUGCAGCUUUGAAUUUAUGGAAACAUUAAGAAUGAGCGAGGUCUUCUUCAGAAAUUAAA